rnacentral:rRNA from 1 species
GCAAGUCUGGUGCCAGCAGCCGCGGUAAUUCCAGCUCCAAUAGCGUAUAUUAAAGUUGUUGCAGUUAAAAAGCUCGUAGUUGAAUUUCGGGAUCAAUAUUUCGGUCAUGCCGUUGGUAUGCACUGUUAUCAUUGAUUUCUCACCUUCUAAAGAACCAUAAUGCCAUUAAUUUGGUGUUACGGGGAAUUAGGACUGUUACCUUGAAAAAAUUAGAGUGUUUAAAGCAGGCUCACGCUUGAAUACAUUAGCAUGGAAUAAUGAAAUAGGACAUCCGAUUCUAUUUUGUUGGUUUCUAGGAUCGAUGUAAUGAUUAAUAGGGAUAGUUGGGGGCAUUAGUAUUCAAUUGUCAGAGGUGAAAUUCUUGGAUUUAUUGAAGACUAACUACUGCGAAAGCAUUUGCCAAGGAUGUUUUCAUUAAUCAAGAACGAAAGUUAGGGGAUCGAAGACGAUCAGAUACCGUCGUAGUCUUAACCAUAAACUAUGCCGACUAGGGAUCGGAUGAUGUUAAUUUUUUAAUGACUCAUUCGGCGCCUUACGGGAAC